CUUCCCGCGGUUUCUCGCGUGGAUCUGGUGCCAUUUGACGAAGACAUCGCUAACGAUAUAUCGUGGCAAGCCAACGGCGACAUGAAUGAAUUUUCUCAAAAGAUAGACCAGACUAGAUUUAGAGGCGGGAAGCGGAACUCUCACCUGGCAUUAAUUCGUCUACGCCAAUGUUUCCAUAGUUCUUCACCCGGUGCAUCAAAAAUAGGAAUCGUCAUAACGGGUGGAAUGUCAUCUGAACCAGAG